rnacentral:misc_RNA from 1 species
UACAGAGGGUGCAAGCGUUGUUCGGAAUCAUUGGGCGUAAAGGGCGCGUAGGCGGUUUCUCAAGUCGGAUGUGAAAUCCCAGGGCUCAACCCUGGAAGUGCAUCCGAAACUAGGAGACUUGAAUCUCGGAGAGGGUGGUGGAAUUCCCAGUGUAGAGGUGAAAUUCGUAGAUAUUGGGAGGAACACCGGUGGCGAAGGCGACCACCUGGCUGAAGAUUGACGCUGAGGCGCGAAAGCGUGGGGAUCAAACAGG